GCAACCUCAGGAGAUGCUCCAGUUUUUGGGAAGAGGGGUCGCUUCAGGACAGAGGGGCUGUUGUGCACACCCCGUCUGUUGUGACCUCAGACAGCCGUCGGGAUGGAGGUGAGAAGACGGCCGUGACGCGCGCCCGCGCGGCCCCCUGCACCCCCAGCAGCCCACAGCGC
rnacentral:sRNA from 1 species